rnacentral:rRNA from 1 species
GACGAACGCUGGCGGCGUGCUUAACACAUGCAAGUCGAACGGAAAGGCCCUGCUUUUGUGGGGUGCUCGAGUGGCGAACGGGUGAGUAACACGUGAGUAACCUGCCCUUGACUUUGGGAUAACUUCAGGAAACUGGGGCUAAUACCGGAUAGGAGCUCCUGCUGCAUGGUGGGGGUUGGAAAGUUUCGGCGGUUGAGGAUGGACUCGCGGCUUAUCAGCUUGUUGGAGGGGUAGUGGCUUACCAAGGCUUUGACGGGUAGCCGGCCUGAGAGGGUGACCGGCCACAUUGGGACUGAGAUACGGCCCAGACUCCUACGGGAGGCAGCAGUGGGGAAUAUUGCACAAUGGGCGGAAGCCUGAUGCAGCAACGCCGCGUGCGGGAUGACGGCCUUCGGGUUGUAAACCGCUUUCGCCUGUGACGAAGCGUGAGUGACGGUAAUGGGUAAAGAAGCACCGGCUAACUACGUG